rnacentral:rRNA from 1 species
UACGUAGGGGCAAGCGUUGUCCGGAUUUAUUGGGCGUAAAGAGCGUGUAGGCGGUUUGGUAGGUCCGCUGUGAAAACUCGAGGCUCAACCUCGAGACGCCGGUGGAAACCAUCAGACUAGAGUCCGGAAGAGGAGAGUGGAAUUCCUGGUGUAGCGGUGAAAUGCGCAGAUAUCAGGAAGAACACCCGUGGCUAAGGCGGCUCUCUAGUACGGUACUGACGCUGAGACGCGAAAGCGUGGGGAGCGAACAGG